UACGGAGGGGGCCAGCGUUGUUCGGAAUUAUUGGGCGUAAAGGGCGCGUAGGCGGCCGGAUAAGUCUGACGUGAAAUCCCUCGGCCUAACCGAGGAACUGCGUUUGAAACUGUCCAGCUCGAGUCCGGGAGAGGGUAGUGGAAUUCCCAGUGUAGCGGUGAAAUGCGUAGAUAUUGGGAGGAACACCGGUGGCGAAGGCGGCUACCUGGACCGGUACUGACGCUGAUGCGCGAAAGCCAGGGGAGCAAACAGG
rnacentral:rRNA from 1 species